UUUAACACAUGCAAGUCGAACGAACCUUCGGGUUAGUGGCGGACGGGUGAGUAACGCGUGAGAAUCUGCCCUCAGGAGGGGGAUAACGGCUGGAAACGGCCGCUAAUACCCCAUAUGCCGAGAGGUGAAAUGAAUUUCGCCUGAGGAUGAGCUCGCGUCUGAUUAGCUAGUUGGUGUGGUAAAGGCUCACCAAGGCAUCGAUCAGUAGCUGGUCUGAGAGGAUGAUCAGCCACACUGGGACUGAGACACGGCCCAGACUCCUACGGGAGGCAGCAGUGGGGAAUUUUCCGCAAUGGGCGCAAGCCUGACGGAGCAACGCCGCGUGAGGGAUGAAGGCCUCUGGGCUGUAAACCUCUUUUAUCAAGGAAGAAGAUCUGACGGUACUUGAUGAAUAAGCCACGGCUAAUUCCGUGCCAGCAGCCGCGGUAAUACGGGAGUGGCAAGCGUUAUCCGGAAUUAUUGGGCGUAAAGCGUCCGCAGGCGGUCUUGAAAGUCUGUUGUUAAGGCGUGGAGCUCAACUCCAUUUCAGCAAUGGAAACUAGAAGACUAGAGUGUGGUAGGGGCAGAGGGAAUUCCCGGUGUAGCGGUGAAAUGCGUAGAUAUCGGGAAGAACACCAGUGGCGAAGGCGCUCUGCUGGGCCAUAACUGACGCUCAUGGACGAAAGCCAGGGGAGCGAAAGGGAUUAGAUACCCCUGUAGUCCUGGCCGUAAACGAUGAACACUAGGUGUCGGGGGAAUCGACCCCCUCGGUGUCGUAGCCAACGCGUUAAGUGUUCCGCCUGGGGAGUACGCACGCAAGUGUGAAACUCAAAGGAAUUGACGGGGGCCCGCACAAGCGGUGGAGUAUGUGGUUUAAUUCGAUGCAACGCGAAGAACCUUACCAGGGUUUGACAUCCUGCGAAUCCCUGGGAACUUGGGAGUGCCUUCGGGAGCGCAGUGACAGGUGGUGCAUGGCUGUCGUCAGCUCGUGUCGUGAGAUGUUGGGUUAAGUCCCGCAACGAGCGCAACCCACGUCUUUAGUUGCCAGCAUCAAGUUGGGCACUCUAGAGAGACUGCCGGUGAUAAACCGGAGGAAGGUGUGGAUGACGUCAAGUCAUCAUGCCCCUUACAUCCUGGGCUACACACGUACUACAAUGCUACGGACAAAGGGCAGCAAACUCGCGAGAGCUAGCAAAUCCCAUAAACCGUGGCUCAGUUCAGAUCGUAGGCUGCAACUCGCCUACGUGAAGGAGGAAUCGCUAGUAAUCGCAGGUCAGCAUACUGCGGUGAAUACGUUCCCGGGCCUUGUACACACCGCCCGUCACACCAUGGAAGUUGGCCACGCCCGAAGUCGUUACUCCAACCCGCAAGGGAGGAGGAUGCCGAAGGUGGGGCUGAUGACUGGGGUGAAGUCGUAACAAGGUA
rnacentral:rRNA from 1 species